rnacentral:rRNA from 1 species
UACGAAGGGGGCGAGCGUUGUUCGGAAUUACUGGGCGUAAAGGGCGCGUAGGCGGUGUGUCAAGUCAGGCGUGAAAGCCCCGGGCUCAACCUGGGAACCGCGCUUGAGACUGGCACGCUCGAGUUCGGGAGAGGAUGGUGGAAUUCCCAGUGUAGAGGUGAAAUUCGUAGAUAUUGGGAAGAACACCGAUGGCGAAGGCAGCCAUCUGGACCGACACUGACGCUGAGGCGCGAAAGCGUGGGGAGCAAACAGG